GCCAGGCGCGGUGGUGCAAGCCUGUAAUCCCAGCUGCUUGGGAGGCUGAGGCGGGAGGAUCUCGAGUUCAAAGCCAGCCUCAGCAAAAGUGAGGCACUAAGCAACUCAGUGAGUCCCUGUCUCUA
rnacentral:sRNA from 1 species